CUCAGCUGUUUUUUGUUUUGUUUUGAAUUUGACUUCUUCAGUGCUGUGGCUCAUACCCAACACAUGCUAGGUGCGUGCUUCUCUGUGGAGCUGCACAGCCAGGCCUAUUAGUUUUACAGAUAUAAGGCAACGAGGCCUGAAACCUUAAGUCCUAACUCUAGCAUAGGAGCUGGCCUCUGACUCUGGCAUUGCAAGUUAGUAGUGACCUAGCCUUUUCUUGGAGCUGAGCCAGUCUGUGUCACCCACAUUUACAAAGCUCCUGUUCCCUAUCUCCUUAAAAUGCUGGUCUGGAGGAUGCCAGUCCCUGAGACGCAGUUAAGAUACCCAGAGCCAAAAGCCCGCCCACGGGAGCUUGGCCAAGGUCACAGAGCAGAAACGAACUAGACGGAAGGCUGUCAGCUGCCUGUCCAGCCUCUGCCUGCCAGGGGAUGAACUCCUCAUUGCCAGCGGGGAUGAAGAUGCCUCAGACAGGCAGCAGCAGCAGCCCUAGCAGCUAAAGGGCCAUUGCAGUGCUCAGACAGCGUCUCCUCAAGAUGAUAAAAGGGUCCCCGGUCAUCCAGGCAGCCACCAAGCAUCACCGCUCUUUUCUGCUUUGAGAUGUAACUCAGGGCUGUCCAGCCUUCCAGAGAACUCCAGCCAGUUGCUUUGGUUGCUUUGAUUGAGGUGCACCGCCGUCUCUGUAGGAGGUGGCCGGAAAGGAACACAGGGAAGGGAGCUGGGGACAGGCUGCCAAACUCCGGAGGAUGCUCAUGUUUAGUCGCAGUUGGCAGGUGGGUCUUCUCCCUACCAUCCCGGGGGGUCCUCAGCGCUGGGGACUGUGGCAAGGAGGACCUCCCUCUGUCCUUGUCCGUUUGGGAGCUCACCCUACAGAAGUGCGAAUCACAGGAAGCUUGGCACUCGUCUGGUUUGCCUUGGGGUCAGAUCUCUUAAGACCAACACCAAGACCCAUGCCCUCUGAGGAAGGAGGGAGCAGCAGACUUAGAGUCAGGGCAUAAUGCCUACACCUAGCUAGGAGCUAGGGGAAGUUGCUUUCGCCCUAGAUCGGUUUCCUCCAUUGGAAAAUGAAGGUAUGAGGGAGAGCUUUUGAGUCCAAUCCUGUCUGGACCUCUCCAAGUGGGACACUGCACCCACUUGAGUCUGGGAGCCACCUGACUGAGUCAUAGUACUCUAGUUCUGAGCAGCCACCAUGUGCCAAGUACAGGAACCCUGAAGGGCAGGUGGGAUCUCUUAUGAUUUCCACUGUAUCUGUAACUGGAUACAGGGGCCUGGGUAUCUACCUGGCCUACAGUGAUAGGUGGCUGAACCUUCAGCGUGUGUGUGUGUGUGCGUGCGUGUGCGUGCACACGGGAUCAGUGACAAUCCCUGGGGACUGUCAGACCCUGAAGUUGGAACUAGACCACUUCUAACAGGUAAGGGAAAAAAGCUCCAUCGUGUGGCAAAGAUUCUGUCUAGGGAGUCAAUAUCUCCCCCGCUUUUCUUUAUCUACCUAGACUGCUUUGAUGACUCGUUUUUGAUCCCGAGUCGGAAGCAUCCCGUGAUGGCCUUGAGCUUGCUCUGCGGCUGAGGAUGGCCCUCCUGCCUCUCUUCCCCCAGCGCAGAAAUUGCAGGGUUUAUUACCAUGCAGUUCUAUGUGGUAUUGGGGACUGAACCCAGGGCCUCCUCUGUGUCAGGCAAGCACUGUGCCAGCUGAGCUAAAUCCCAGUCCUGGUGCCUAUUUUUUGUUUGUUUGUUUGUUUGUUUGUUUGUUUUAAGAGGUGAAAGGGCCCAAGAUCCCCACUGGCCAUUUCACCCCUACUCGUAGCCUCUAUAAUCUAUUACUUCGGAAAGGGGCUGAACUCCUCAUCGGGAUCCCACAAGAUUCCACUCACUCUUGCCUCCUUUGAAGUUCACUCUUCAACUCUCUGCCUCCCCCCCCCCCCCCGCAGUCAACUCAAAACAUUGGCUGCUAAUAGAUCUUCAUGUCCUUUCCCCAGAUCCUCUUAGGCUUACUGGAGAUGGACCACAUCCAAGCAACAGCACUGAUGGUCUAGUAACCAAAGAAUGAAAUGGUCUCCAUGUCCCUGUACAACCCUCAUCUUUACAUUUUUGCAUUUAGAACCUAGGUACUAAUUGUGGGUCUCCCUAUAAUUUACCUAAUUUGUUGGGGAGGAAUUUUCUCUGGCACUUAAUGACAGGCUGAACAGGGUUCCUUGAAACUCUUAUUGAAGCCCCUUGUUCUGAUUUCGAUUUUGCAUGUGCCCUCACAGGUCCAUGUUUUGAAGGCUUGGUGCCCAGGAUGGCACUAUUUGGAGCUGAGACCUUGCAGGAAGGCCCCAGGCUCUCUCUUUUUGCUUCUAGGUUCCUGGAGCAAGUGCCCUGCUCUGUCGUGCAUUCUUGGGAUGACCUCUGUCUUCAUGAGGUCAAAAGCAAGUUGUUCUAGACUGGAACCUCCAGAACUAUGAGCAAAGAACAAUGUUCUAUUAAUUUAAAUCACCUCUGGCAGAAAGCAAAAGCAAUCUCUACAAUCUAGUAAGUCAGAAUGGGACUGAAUCUGAGGGUUGUUAUUUCAAGAGGGAAUUCAGAUUAAAUGGGGAGGAGGGACUGGGGAAAUGGCUCAGUCUGUAACAGUGCUUGCUCUUCAAGCAUGAGGAUCCCUGGGGCUCCUGUAAGAAACUGGGCAUGGCUCGGUGUGUCUGCAGCCCCAGCAUUGAGAGGCAGAGACAGGCGAACCUGAGAUGGCCAGCCAGGCUAGCCCAAACAGUGAGCUCUUGGUUUAGUGGGGGACCCUCUCUCAAGGCAGUAAGGUGCAGGCUAGCUCAAAAAAUGAGCUUCUGGUUCAGUGAGGGACCCUCUCUCAAAGCAGUGAGGUGCAGGCUAGCCCAAACACUGAGCUUCUGGUUUAGUGAGUGGCCCUCUCUCAAGACAGUGAGGUGGAGAACAGUGGUAGGGGAAAACAGCCUUAGUCCUUGUUCUGGCUUCCACAUGUGUCCGUGUGCACCUGCACACGCAUAUGCAUGCAAAACACACACACACAGAGGCACACACACACACACAUUACUGAGUGUGAUUAAUGAUGCUAGCAUGACUUCCGCAUGUGGGGGUAUGUACAUCUGUACAGCCACAUGCAACACACAUCAGCCUCACAGAGAGCUACCUACUUAUGUCUCUGGAGUGCUAGAAUUAAAGGUGUACAAGACCCUUCCCAUCACCACUUUCCUUCCUCCUUCCUUCCUUCCUUCCUUGGUUUUCUGAGACAGGGUUUCCCUCUAUAAUAGCCCUGGCGUCUUGGACUCACUUUGUAGGCCAGGCUGGCCUCAAACUCAACAGAGAUCCACCUGCCUCUGCCUCCCAAAGGCUGGGACUAAAGGCAUGUGCCAAGAUAACCAGUCCAUCAUGUUUCUCGUAAGAGUGAAAGGGCCCUGUUUCAUAGGUGUCUGGGAAUCUAGUAUCUUCGUUCAGACCUGUUUGUCCAUGACUGCACAUACACAGCCUGAAGAUUCAGCCACCCAUCUUGGUAGGCCAAACAAAGCUCCUGGCCCUGUACCCAGGUACAACAAACACUGUCAGAUUGACAAGCUGGGGCCCAUCUUGGCAGGCCUAGAUCGUACAAGGGGAGGAGUAGCAGGCUUGUUACCCACACAACAGAAACUUCUCCUUUUAAAAAGGCAAGGGGGGAAUAUACACCAAUAAAAGA